rnacentral:rRNA from 1 species
ACGGGUGAGUAAUCGUAAAGAACCUGCCUCAUAGACUGGGAUACUGUUGGAAACGAUAGCUAAUACCGGAUAACAGCAUUAGCUGCAUGGUUGAUGUUUAAAAGUUGGUUUUGCUAACACUAUGAGAUGGCUUUGCGGUGUAUUAGCUAGUUGGUGGGGUAAAGGCCUACCAAGGCGACGAUGCAUACCCGACCUGAUAGGGUGAUCGGCCGCACUGGAACUGAGACCCGGACCCCACUCCUACGGGAGGCAGCAGUAUGGAAUCUUCCGCAAUGGGCGAAAGCCUGACGGAGCCACGCCGCGUGAGUGAGGAAGGAUUUCGGUUCGUAAAGCUCUGUUGUUAGGGAAAAAUGAUUGUGUAAUAACUAUACACGGUACAGACUGUACCUAACCAGAAAGCCACGGCUAACUACGUGCCACCACCCGCGGUAAUACGUACGUGGCAAGCGUUGUCCGGAAUUAUUGGGCGUAAAGCGCGCGCAGGUGGUUUAAUAAGUCUGAUGUGAAAGCCCACGGCUCAUCCGUGGAGGGUCAUUGUGAACUGUUAAACUUGAGUGCAGGAGAGAGAAGUGCAAUGUCUAGUGUAGCGGUGAAAUGCGUAGAGAUUAAGAGGAACACCAGUGGCCAACGCGGUUUUUUGUCCUGGAACUGACACUGAGGCGCGAAAGCGUGGGGAGCAGACUAGAUUAGAUACCCUGCUACUCCACGCCCUAUAC